rnacentral:rRNA from 1 species
UACGUAGGUGGCAAGCGUUGUCCGGAUUUAUUGGGUUUAAAGGGUGCGUAGGCGGCUUUGUAAGUCAGUGGUGAAAUAAUGGCAGCUCGAACUGUCAAGGUGCCAAUUGACUACUGCGGGGCUUGAGUACAGAUGAGGUAGGCGGAAUUGACGGUGUAGCGGUGAAAUGCUUAGAUAUCGUCAAGAACACCUAUAGCGAAGGCAGCUUACUAGGCUGUAACUGACGCUGAGGCACGAAAGUGUGGGGAUCAAACAGG